rnacentral:rRNA from 1 species
GAACGCGAAGAACCUUACCCGGGUUUGACAUGCUUGGAUGCCCUUUGGGGAUAACUCAGAUGGGCUGCCCUUCGGGGUGAAACUUGCACAGGUGUUGCAUGGCUGUCGUCAGCUCGUGCUGUGAAGUGUCGGGUUAAGUCCCUUAACGAGCGAAACCCCUGUCGCUAGUUGCCAGCGCGUUAUGGCGGGGACUCUAGCGAGACUGCCGGCGUUAAGCCGGAGGAAGGUGGGGACGACGUCAAGUCAUCAUGGCCUUUAUGCCCGGGGAUGCACACGUGCUACAAUGGCGUGCACAGAGCGAUGCGAGGACCGCGAGGUGGAGCAAAUCGCAAAAAACACGCCCCAGUUCGGGAUUGGAGUCUGCAAUUCGACUCCAUGAAGUUGGGAAUCGCUAGUAAUCGCGCAUCAGCCACGGGGGCGGUUAAUGUGGUGCCUGAGGCC